rnacentral:rRNA from 1 species
AACGAACGCUGGCGGCAUGCCUAACACAUGCCAGUCGAACGAGACCUUCGGGUCUAGUGGCGCACGGGUGCGUAACGCGUGGGAACCUGCCCUUAGGUUCGGAAUAACUCCCCGAAAGGGGUGCUAAUACCGGAUAAUGUCUUCGGACCAAAGAUUUAUCGCCUUUGGAUGGGCCCGCGUUGGAUUCGCUAGUUGGUAGGGUAAAAGCCUACCAAGGCGACGAUGCAUAGCUGGUCUGAGAGGAUGAUCAGCCACACUGGGACUGAGACACGGCCCAGACUCCUACGGGAGGCAGCAGUGGGGAAUAUUGGACAAUGGGCGAAAGCCUGAUCCAGCAAUGCCGCGUGAGUGAUGAAGGCCUUAGGGUUGUAAAGCUCUUUUACCCGGGAUGAUAAUGACAGUACCGGGAGAAUAAGCUCCGGCUAACUCCGUG